AAACUAUCCAACAAUCCAUCUAUCCAAUUAUCGGACCAUCCAUCUCUCCAACCACCCAUCUAUCCAACUAUCCAUCUAUCCAACCACCCAUCUAUCCACUAUGCAGUCAUCCAACUAUCCAGUCAUCAAACUAUCCAACAAUCCAUCUAUCCAAGUACCCAGUCUCCCAACUAUCCAACUAUCCAAUCAUUAAACUAACCAUCCAUCUUUUAUGCCUGACAAAAAAAAAAAAGACCAACCUAGACAUGACUCCCAUUUUCACUGUUCAUGG